GAUGAACGCUAGCGGCAGGCCUAAUACAUGCAAGUCGAACGGUGUAGCAAUACACAGUGGCGCACGGGUGCGUAACACGUAUGCAACCUACCUUACAUUGGGGGAUAGCCUUUCGAAAGGGAGAUUAAUACCGCAUAAGACAGUAACUAGGCAUCUAGUAGCUGUUAAAGAUUUAUCGAUGUAAGCUGGGCAUGCGUCCAAUUAGUUAGUUGGCGAGGUAAUGGCUCACCAAGACGAUGAUUGGUAGGGGAACUGAGAGGUCAAUCCCCCACACUGUCACCGAGAUACGGGCCAGACUCCUACGGGAGGCAGCAGUAGGGAAUAUUGGGCAAUGGCCGCAAGCCUGACCCAGCCAUGCCGCGUGCAGGAAGAAGGCGUUAUGCGUUGUAAACUGCUUUUAUACAGGAAGAAACGACCCUUGCGAGGGGCAUUGACGGUACUGUAUGAAUAAGCACCGGCUAACUCCGUGCCAGCCGCCGCGGUAAGAC
rnacentral:rRNA from 1 species